ACUUCUUUUUGUCACAGAUCACAAAUCCUCUUUGAUCUGUGCCUUUGGUUUCGGAAAUGUCACUUUCUUUGACAGAUUGAUUCGCAUAACGAAAAUGUGUGUUUUUUGGUGAACAAAAACAGUAAGGUAAUUUUUAAGCUCGACAUCGGAAAGUUUAUCCGAUUUGAGACGUUUUAGUGCAUUUAUACCUCAUCAGUUCCUCUCGGACAUAAACUUGUUCUUGACAGAUUGGUUCACGAAACGAAAAUAUGUGUUUUGUGGCCAACGAAAGCAGCAAAGUGAUUUUUAAGCUUGAAAUCCUAAAAUUUAACUGAUUUGGACCGUUUAAGUCUAAGUGCAUUUACUUACGUCUCGUCACUUCCUUUUGUCACAGAUCACAAAUCCUCUGUGAUUUGUGCCUUUCGUUUCGGAAAUGUCACUUUCUUUGACAGAUUGAUUCGCAAAACGAAAAUGUGUGUUUUUUGGUGAACAAAAACAGUAAGAUUGGUUCCCAAAACGAAAAUUUGUGUUUCCUGGCCAACUYUAAGAGCAAAGUAAUUUUUAAGCUCGAAAUCGUAAAAUUUWGCCGUAGAUCGUAGAUUUGAGACGUUUGAAUUUAGGUCCGACUACUGUAGAACAAWUUUGGGUAUUCCUCAAAUUCGAACAGAAUAUUCCAUGGGAUCUUAAUAAAAACCACAACAAUGCUUUUGAAA